GUGGGUGUGGUUCAGGUGGUUAGAGCGUCAGGUUGUGGCCCUGAAGAUCGCCGGUUCGAGUCCGGUCAUCCACCCCA
rnacentral:tRNA from 1 species